rnacentral:rRNA from 1 species
AUUGAACGCUGGCGGCAGGCCUAACACAUGCAAGUCGAGCGGAUGAAGGGAGCUUGCUCCUGGAUUCAGCGGCGGACGGGUGAGUAAUGCCUAUGAAUCUGCCUGGUAGUGGGGGAUAACGUCCGGAAACGGGCGCUAAUACCGCAUACGUCCUGAGGGAGAAAGUGGGGGAUCUUCGGACCUCACGCUAUCAGAUGAGCCUAGGUCGGAUUAGCUAGUUGGUGGGGUAAAGGCCUACUAAGGCGACGAUCCGUAACUGGUCUGAGUGGAUGAUCAGUCACACUGGAACUGAGACACGGUCCAGGCUCCUAAGGGAGGCAGCAGUGGGGAAUAUUAGACAGUGGGCGAAAGCCUGAUCCAGCCAUGCCGCGUGUGUGAAGAAGGUCUUCGGAUUGUAAAGCACUUUAAGUUGGGAGGAAGGGCAGUCAGUUAAUACCUUGCUGUUUUGACGUUACCAACAGAAUAAGCACCGGCUAACUUCGUG